AACGCACAUUGCGCCCCUUGGUAUUCCAUGGGGCAUGCCUGUUCGAGCGUCAUUUGUACCCUCAAGCUCUGCUUGGUGUUGGGUGUUUGUCCACUCCCUGGUGUUUGGACUCGCCUUAAAGCAAUUGGCAGCCAGUGUUUUGGUAUUGAAGCGCAGCACAUUUUGCGAUUCUAGCCUGAAAUACUAGCAUCCAGUAAGUCAUUUUUCACUUUUGACCUCGGAUCAGGUAGGGAUACCCGCUGAACUUAA
rnacentral:misc_RNA from 1 species